UUUAUCAGUCACUUCCAACCCUCCCAACCAAAGUAGAGACCUCAAAGUAUCAAAGAGCAGCCAGGUUGGUUUACAUUUCCAUAUAAAAGCAUUAAAAUGCUGUUGAAAUUGUUUCAGUAAUGAGGCAGGCAUAGGUUAUUUUAGAUUGUGUCUGCCACGUAUUCAAUUAUGCUGCUAACAGUUUACCUGCUUUACUUCCCUGUGACGGAUCACCCUGUCCCUGG